GACGAACGCUGGCGGCGUGCCUAAUACAUGCAAGUAGAACGCUGAAGGAGGAUCUUGCUUCUCUGGAUGAGUUGCGAACGGGUGAGUAACGCGUAGGUAACCUGCCUGGUAGCGGGGGAUAACUAUAGGAAACGAUAGCUAAUACCGCAUAAGAGUAGAUGUUGCAUGACAUUUGCGUAAAUGGUGCAAUUGCAUCACUACCAGAGGGACCUGCGUUGUAUUAGCUAGUUGGUGGGGUAACGGCCGACCAAGGCGGCGGUACAUAGCCGACCUGAGAGGGGGAGCGGACAGACUGGGAGUGAGACAGGGACCAGACUGCUACGGGAGGCAGCAGGAGGGAAGCUUCGGUAAUGGACGGGAGUAUGACUGAGCAACGCCGGGUGAGUGAAGAAGGGUGUCGGAUCGUAAAGCUAUGUUGUAAGAGAAGAACGAGUGUGAGAGUGGAAAGUUCACACGGUGACGGUAUCUUACUAGAAAGGGACGGCUAACUACGUG
rnacentral:rRNA from 1 species